rnacentral:lncRNA from 1 species
ACAUGUAUUCGCCGCCUGUUUGAAUUGAUUUAUUUCCAAAGGUAACUCAUACAAUCCUCCUCUCUCCCUUCCUUCUCCCAAAACCGAAUUAGUAGCCGAGUCCUUGACUAGCACUUUCUGUGAAUCAAAUGUAAGACAUACUGAAUUGUCAAUGCAAAAUCGAUUAACAGAUAACAAGUUCCUAGUUGCGGAAGGUACAACAAACAUAUCCUUGAGAUGAAAGGAUCUUGAAUUUAUUCGAGCAUCGCUAUGACCUGAAAGAGUAAUAGGAAGAGGACUACCAUCAGCGGAGAAUAUUGAGUCAUUACCAUUAAAUGUUCGUGGUUGCUGAAUAUUGGUAUGUGACGUAGCACCCGAAUCAGGGUACCAUGUUGUCGUUGUUCCGAAUGAUUGAGCCAUUAGAUUGGCAGAUUCUCGACUUUUCCCGUUUGGACCCAUUGG